rnacentral:rRNA from 1 species
UACGGAGGGUGCAAGCGUUAUCCGGAUUCACUGGGUUUAAAGGGUGCGUAGGCGGGGAGGUAAGUCCGUGGUGAAAUCUCUGAGCUUAACUCAGAAACUGCCGUGGAUACUAUUUGCCUUGAAUAUUGUGGAGGUGAGCGGAAUAUGUCAUGUAGCGGUGAAAUGCUUAGAUAUGACAUAGAACACCAAUUGCGAAGGCAGCUCACUACACAAUGAUUGACGCUGAGGCACGAAAGCGUGGGGAUCAAACAGG